rnacentral:tRNA from 1 species
AUUAUUAUGGCAGAAUAAUGCAAUAGGUUUAGAAUCUAUCCAUUUAU